rnacentral:piRNA from 1 species
UGUGACAAGAGUGCUGAAUGUCAGGG